CAUCCUCGUAAAUAACACAAAAAACCACACAAACAUCAAUCAACACACUGAAUACAAAAGUCACAGUUACCAGUUACAGUCACAGUUACAAGUAACAGUUACCAACAACAAUCACAGUUACGAUUACAAGUAACAGUUACCAUCAACACUCAAAGUUACCAGUAACAGUUACCAACAGUAGUCACUGUUACCAGUAACAGUUACUAAUCACGGUUACCAACAACAGUCACAGUUACCAAACAGUCAACCAAGUUGCAUUUACCCGUUACAUGAACAAGAAAGUAACUGCUAGUCGGUCACACUUACCAGUCACAUUGAAACAUCAGAGUCACAGUUACAGUCACACGUCCACACAGAAAACACAUGCGAAUUAUAUUAUUGUAGCUAAUUUGUACUAUUGUCGAUCCGUAGCUUUUGAAUACUACAAAUAAAUUUGACGCCUUAAUUUUUUGAAACAAUUAUUAUGCUUCAGCUAGCCCAACAAAAAAAAAAAAAAGAAAAUUAAUCACUUUUUAUUUCAGCUUUUUGUUAAUUUAAUGCUUCAAUUCGCUUCAGUCUAAAUUUAUUGUUAAUUGUGUCAACCUUUUGUUUAUUUUUUUAUGCACGACACCAAAAAAAACAUUGCUGCCAACGACUAACAAAGUGCAGCACAACAACAUCACACCACCCACCACAUGCACCCUAAAAAAACAAUCGCACAACAAAAACAAAUCCUCAUACCCCACAAAAAACGUUCAACAACAACAACAACAAAUGCACGCAUCUUUUGGCCAUUUACCUGCGAAAAGGAGAAUUUAUUAUUUUUACGCUUUGCAUCGCUUAUUUUGCCAUUAACCUAUAUUUAAUCAAAAAAAGAAAAAAAAACAACGCUGCGCUUUAUUAUUAUGCUUUAGUUAUUUCUAAUUACGCUUUAAUGCAUAAGGUGCUUUUUACUGCUACGCUUUUUUUAGGUUAAUUGUAUAUUUUUAAAUCAAUCAUUGUUUUUAGUUGGUAAGAAAAAAAAAACUGCUUUUAGUUAAACAAAAAAAAUAUCAUAGCAUACUUUUAAGUAACGCCCAAACGCUCUACGCUUUUAAUAUUUAUUUAUUUAUUUUAUAUUUUUAAUGUUUUUAUUUGUUGUACUCUACAAAUUGACAAAUUUAGCAAAAAGAGUUUUAUUUUUGAUAUUGUGUCAAUCGCAAGCAGCAGAACGCUAAAAACAAAAACAAAACCAAAAUGAAACGAAAAGUUGUUAGUUAACUUGGAUUCAAUUCUUGCGCUGUGAUUUGUUCAUACAUAAUAUAUAUUUAUACCAUAUAUUAGAGGCAGUACAAAUUGCAUUUGUUGCUCAUCUCGAGCACUCAAUUAAUUAAUUAAUUAAUAUACAAAACAUAUACAUUUAUUAUACAACUACUAUAUAUUAUAUUAGCAUUCUUUUCUCAAAUCAGACGUAAUUUUUCAUACAUAAAUAAACGAAAACAAAACCAGACAAUACAACAACAAUACAUUGCAUAUAACUUAAUAUAUACAUACUUACCACAUAUAGAUAUUAUUGUAUGUAAAAUACAAGAAUCUAACGCGUUUAUUUCGAUUUUUCUUUUCUUUCUUUUCUUUUUUAUAUAUGUUCUUGUUAUAUACUCUUAUAUAUACAAACCAAAAAAUCAUUUGUUUUUCGGUAACAACAAAAAUUUUCAAAACUUUGCAACAAAACCAAAAAAAAACCAAAAAAAAUUAUAUAUAUGUUCGUCAAAAAACCAAACAAAAUUCCUAACAAAUUAUGAUCUCUACCACCAAAAAAAAAAAAAUACUCCCAAACAAUCCAAAAAAAAAAAAUGCAACCAACCAAAAACCAAACAACGACCAAAAAUCAACCAAAAACUAUCGACAAACUUUUCGAUUCUAAAAAAAAACCAAAAAUCGUAAAACCCGUUAUUGAAAAUUUUGCCCAUCAAAAACACUCUUUUUCUCUCCGCAAAACAAAAUUCGAAAUUCGCAAUUGCAUUGAACUUCAAAAUUCCAAAAACAAAUCCAAAAUGUAUAUUUCUCUGACCAACAAAAAUUUGACAAAUUAUCUUGGCGAUCCAUAUAUAUCUACACACGAUUUUAUAUAUAUAUUAUUAUGUACAAAAAUUCCAAUUGUUAAAAACCCAAAAACUGCAAACAAAUUCGAUAUCGAACCAAAACAAAACCAAAAAAAAAAAAACGCAACGCAUCCCGCAAAAACCUGGAAAAACUCACAC